UCCCCCCGACUCACCUUGCAGGAGCGUUUGGCAGCAGGACUCUGCGUGGGUUCCCUGUACUUUCUACGCUGGCAUCGUGGAACGCCUUUGCCAUCGCUUGAGCAAGCUGCCAGGCCACCUGGAGAGAGCCAAGGGACCCCAGCCGACCACCAGUCCCUGAGAAUGAGGCCAUCUCUGCUGAAUUCCUGUCUCACUGAGGACGUGCUUUUAAGCCAACUAGAAGAGCAAUUUAUGAGGAGAAAUCCACAUUGCCCCAUAUAGCUAGCUGGCCGCUGACUCAAGGCAAUAUAGAUCUUCCAAUUACCACUCUCCUGCUCCUGAUGUUGACCGGGGAUUCUUUUUCUAUUUUUAAAUAUUGUCAACCUGUAAAAUCUGGAAGGCACACGGACAACAGCGUCUUCCUAAUCUGAUAAAUACUUCCAGCAUUCACAUGCAUGUCUGUCAGGUUCCUGUUAGUACCAGACACUUCUAGGUGCUGGGAUACAAUCCCUGUCUGUGUACAGCAUAGGGAUUAAUGGAAAAGAAAAAAACAUUAACAUCCUAUCAGAAAGUUCCCUGUAACUGAGAGUGGACGUGCCCAGUGCCCGCAGUGCCCAAAGCAGAGCACAGAAAUUAGCUUUCAUAGGAAAUGACAUUUAGAAUAUGAGAUUCUACCCAACAGAAUGCAAUUAUCUCUUUGAACACCGACCAAUAAAGCUCAAUUCCAUUGUGAUAA